rnacentral:rRNA from 1 species
GAUGAACGCUGGCGGCGUGCCUAAUACAUGCAAGUCGAGCGAACGGACGAGAAGCUUGCUUCUCUGAUGUUAGCGGCGGACGGGUGAGUAACACGUGGAUAACCUACCUAUAAGACUGGGAUAACUUCGGGAAACCGGAGCUAAUACCGGAUAAUAUUUUGAACCGCAUGGUUCAAAAGUGAAAGACGGUCUUGCUGUCACUUAUAGAUGGACCCGCGCUGCAUUAGCUAGUUGGUAAGGUAACGGCUUACCAAGGCAACGAUGCAUAGCCGACCUGAGAGGGUGAUCGGCCACACGGGAACUGAGACACGGUCCAGACUCCUACGGGAGGCAGCAGUAGGGAAUCUGCCGCAAUGGGCGAAAGCCUGACGGAGCAACGCCGCGUGAGUGAUGAAGGUCUUCGGAUCGUAAAACUCUGUUAUUAGGGAAGAACAUAUGUGUAAGUAACUGUGCACAUCUUGACGGUACCUAAGCAGAAAGCCACGGCUAACUACGU